GUACCCAAGUGGUUAAGGGAGAGGUCUGCAAAACCUCCAUGCACCGGUUCGAAUCCGGUCGGCACCU
rnacentral:tRNA from 1 species